rnacentral:sRNA from 1 species
AGCCACCUUGUCGUGUGUAUUUGUAACAAGACUUUGGAUUAAAUGGGGCUGCUAAGAGGGGGGAAAUAUGAAGGAAUGAAGGGACAGCAUUGGAACGGUCAGUCGGCAGUGGUUCUCAGGCAGCCUUAGGCACCACCUGCUCCAAGUCAGUGUUGAGUCUGCGUGCUGGGAUCCAGCCCACUCCUCGUCUUCCAUGCCAGGGCCCCCAGGCAGCCAGCACCAGCCCAAAGGCCACAGGGCUGGGGAAAGCUGAUGUCCUGUUAGGAUGGCUCCCAGGGACCUCUGACUCAAGGAAGGGUGACCUUUUGUUUCCUACUCUGCUGAGAAAUCACUUGAUUCUUCCUCAAAUGAAUCACCUUCCUGAACCCCAGGUUCUUCUCCAGGAAUAUGGGGGCCAUCUUGUUAUGGGGACUAUCUUGUUUUCCAGUUUCCUGCCUACCCUAAAUACUUUGAGGCUGAAUUGCAGAUUUUCAGUCAUUUUACCUUCUCAGGUAAAAGCCAUGAAAGAAACAAGCCUACUCCACCAGCCAAAGCACUUGCCCAUUUGCUGGCUUCAUGAACCACAGGUGGGAGGUAUGUGUUUGUGUUAAAAAACAGCAUGCACACGCGUGCGCGCACACAUGCACACACACACCCCUCUAUUUUAGGGAUGUGUGCUAAUUUUCUAAAUGCCUGCAAGGAGUUCUAAAAUGAUUCUGAGCAGAUUCGUCUAGGAUUUGAAAAUACUUGAAUUUGCACCAGAACACACCCUUCCACCCAUGUUUCAGAAGGCACUAAUUGUCGCUUUGGGCGCCUCAGUGUCAUAACUGUAGACAUCAUUCUUGGGAGUUGUUGGGGGGAAAAAUCCUAGCUACUUAAGGUUUCUGAUUGAUUCUUGAUAAAGUGAAGAUUAUUGUGUGUGGUGAAUGAGUUCAGUGAGUCCCCAUGAUGCAGUAGUUUUUUUAAAAAAUUAGAGAUUAAUUAUAUCUUUUAUGGAAAAAAGUUGUUUUAGUUUGUCAGGUUUUCCCUCUUUGAACUGUUUUUAAUGUUUACAAACCUCACUUUAGCGCUAACAUUUUGUGUUUAGCCCUCACGAAAAAGCACUUACUGUGGCAGGAAGAUUUUGCAGUAACAUGGAGAAAUCCCCAAGAUCAAGUGCUGACAAAUGUUGACAGCUUUAGCAGCGUACUGUGUAAUAAAUAACUCCGAGGGGGCGGCGGGGGGUCUGUGCAAGAAAGCGUCCCCUUAUGCACAUGUGGCGUCUCAUUCCCCAGAAAAGGACAGCAUCUGAGCUCACAGUGUUGAUCAGGCAACACUGCUGGGCUGGGGGUCGGAGUUGGGGUUAGCUUCCUGCACCAACACCUUCAGUACGAUCUGAGUUGGGAGCAGUGUCCCAGGCUAUGUGGCUGAGCACCACGUCUGCCUCAGGGGCUGACCCUGCUAGCCUGUUAACAACUCGUCUCCCCUCUGCUCCCACAGAGAGGGCAGCCAGGCCAGCUCACAGCUGGGUGUGCUGCCUGGCAGGUCUGUUGAGUGUGUUUGCAAAGUCAAAAUUGGGCUUAUCUCUCUUUGAGAGUUCCUUUUAAAAUAGGGCCAUAAAGGCUCAGCCUUGCAUUAAAUGGGGCCCACUUGGAAGGACCAUCCUGAGCUUUAUCAGAAAUCUCCUGCUGGGAAUCAUGUUACUUGGCCCCCAAAAAAGGCCAUCUUUGAAGUGAGAUUGAAAACAAGAACACCAUUCAGAUGGGCUUGUUGCCCAAGUUUUCCCAGGUCACUUCAGUAAAACCACUUGAUCAUCUGGUGAAAGAGGGGGGCAGGUGGUUGGCCUCCUGAGGAUAUGUUGUCAGCUGCAAGAAAUAGUUCUGAAGUCACUGAAACUAAAUGCAGAUGAAUGACCAAAAAGGAUGACACGCCAGAGAGUGACUUAGGAGUUAAUUUGCAUCUUUGUGAUAGACUCUUCAGAAUUAUUUAUGUCCCUGUAACUAUUUAAUAUCCUUUGUGCCGUGAGGCUCCUCGGUGGUUUUGUAAAUGUUCUCCUUGUAUUUAAUUAACUCCCACUAGAACCGGAAGUGGUGCCAUGGACGCUUCCUAGUUGAUGUAAUGUGUGGUUGCACAUGUCAUCAUGUAUAGACCACAUGGUGAUGAAAGUUCUGGAGGGAAUAGGGUUAUCCAAGGUGAAUAUGAAGACGCCUAUAUUUUUCUUAUAUUGCCUCUGUAUGCAAACAGAAGACAAUCGAUAUCUGGGGGCCUUAAAAUGACCUCUUGGCAAAUUGAAGGAAGCGUUUUUGCGUUUAAUAGUUUCAGUAGGGACCACUAUCAGUUUGGUUUGGGGCAUUUGAAGGCUGAGCGACCUUAGUUUUUCUCAGUGUUCUGGUGGGACGAUAUUGGUUUUCACAUUUAAAGCAAAACUUGAAGAAACUGCAGUUGCUGUGUGCAUUUGGGUUUUUUCCUGGACACUGUACAGCUGAAACCCUCAAGCAUUUGGUGGAACCUCUGGUGGUUUUAGAUGGAUGCAAACACUGACGUCCUCAGAGAAAGUUUAUUUUGGCACUGAUUGGGUGGAUUUGGUAUUUUUUCCCUCUGAUUCUCUUUGAUAUCCUUCUUUCACACUGCUGAAGGCAUGGGAGGGAAAUAUGUUUUCCCUGCCUUAAAGAGGGAUUACAGUCAGGAAAGGCUGGAGAUACUUGUUGGCCCCACAUAAAGCUGGGAAGAACAGACGCAGUUACAGAUUAAAAUCUCGUCAGAGAAGUUUGAUUUGAAGUAAACAGCCAUCCGAGGGAGGUGACUUUUGUCUACAGAAAAAGCAAGAAUGUGGCAGCCUGCACAGCCCCAAUACACAUCUUCCUUGGCAAUGUGAGCUGAAGCCAGCAUGGGCAAGGCCGGCCCAGCUCUGAGGGCUUGGCCCUGGGAAGCCGGCGGCACCCCCAGCCCUUCGGGCCCUGUUACUGUCCCCUGGCAGGAAGGCUCACACCUGUGGGCAGCCAGGGAAUGUGUCUGACCUCCACCCUAUGUCAGGUGCUUCUGGGACAGCUUCGUGACUCAGUUGAAAACAUUCUGACUCUCUUCAAGUUUGCAGUUACAUCUGUGGUUCUUGGAAGCUGUCCUAGUGAGUCAGCCUUGGGUUAAGCCUGAGGAGACCAAGCUCCAAAACCUUUGUGCACUCAUGUACGUGAAUUCUUGCUUGCAGUGAAUGAGACCUGAACAACCCUAGUGGGUGCCAUGUCCUGCGUGUGGCCCAGGCGUACCUUUUCUUGUAGAUUCACAUGAGAAACCCGUCACCUAUCCAUGUGCUCUGAGAGGUGGACUGAGGUCUAAUCCCUUUCUGUGCCAGAUUUUCUGUGGGUUGGUCUUAGCACCUAGGAGAUGAAUAGAGCAUGGAGACACCUGAACAAUUUAGUGAUUCUGCAAGGCAGUGAUGAUUUAAGGGUUCCUAUUGUCUCAUCUGUGUUCAAAACAAAACAAUCAUGAAGUCUUUGUGCCACUGCCUGACUGUCAUCUUCUCCAGAUCUUGUUUACAGAGAAAUAAUGACAUUAAACAGGUAUCAGAAAGGGGAAAAAGUUUCUAGGCCAAGAGCUGCUGGUGGAUUCUCUUGAGCAGAAUAACAAGUUGCUUCCUGCUCCAGGGACUGCCAUUAGCUUGUGAAGUCUCUAGGUGCCUUGUUAUUUCCUAGUGAAGUUGCAGAAUCCAGGGUUUUUUCCAGGUUUGUCUUAUUUUAUCAGCACCCACGUCCAGGCCCAACAGCUUGGUAGGCUGGUGAGGUCCACACACGGCCAGGUCUGGGAGAUAAGGGAGGAAGCAGUGGCCUGGAACACCCCACCUGUCUGCUAUCAGCACUAGACAGCUCAGGCUGUCUUGGAAAUGUGUACUUUGUUAACUGCCUUCCUGUCCUCUUGUCUUUGAAAGCUGUCUUGCGUUCCACAGUCAGCUUGAGGGCAAGAGUGGGAUGCUGGGGACAGGUCUUUCCCGUCCUGUGGGUGAGCUCCUGGCAUCUGGCUCAGGAACAUGUGGGUCCAGCAGGUGACUCUGAAGCUGGCUUGGCUGCCAUCUCAGACAGGACGCAGGCCUGACACCCUCAGCUUUUAGCUUUGUAAACUUCCCUGGCGCUUUGUAGAAUCUUGGGUUUCUUCUCUUCUCAGCAGAUAUCAUUCAAGUCACAAGAACUGUCUGGUUGAGAAAGUAAUUUAAAAUAUUUGACCUUUUAUGUUUCUUUUAUUUAGAAACUGUGAGAGAAAAUACCGUCAAUAUCUGUUAGGUCUAGAAAAAUUUUCUUCCGAAAGUGAAUGUUCUGUUUAAUUCUUCUUCAUGCACGCGAGUGGCAUUUUGUACACUCUUUAGCUUGAAGCGGAGUGGGUCCUAUUGUAUUUUCCCUUCUUUUGUCUGGAAUAUAUUCUUUUUCCAUUUGGAUACAGUUUUUCAACCUUUGGGAUUUUUUUUUCCUUUCUAGUUUUUCCUACUCCACAAACGUAACAGUAAGGAAAAAAUCACCCACAAACCCGCUGAGUUUGAAUCACUGGCAACUUGCCUAGAAAAGUUCAGAUGAUGGGUCCUUGAACUGUGUAUCUAUUUCAUAGGGUAAGUUUGUUGUUUAUGUUUUUUUAUGCUGAGGCUUUAAUUCAGGUGACUUGCUAUCUAGACACCUGGGGUGGCGUGUUUUCUUUGGGAUGCGUAAUACACAAAGGCCAGGGAGCCUUUGGCUUGGACCCCCAGGGAGCUAUUGGAACUUUUAAAGUUUGAGUUUAGGAGUAAGAACAUAUCUCAGACCACCUUAGUCAGCUUUGCUGAUGGGAUUUAGGGCCAGGUCAGAGUUUCUUUUCAUAACUGCCUGAAAAGAGAGAUGGUGUGAAACAAGAUUCUGAUAAUGGUUUGUGUGAGAUUUGAUCAUAGUCUAAAACUAUCACGUCUGAGUUGCCUUAGGAUGACAGUGCUGACACCCAGUAGGAAGUAUCCCAUUUUUAUCAGGAAAGUCAGUCACGCGUAGGGAUGGUGAGGAGACGAGGGGAGAGGAGGGAGACCUGCUGGUGCCCUUGCACCAGGGUGAGGCCUGACUCACGCUGCUUCCCCCAACAGGCCCUGCUUUGCUUGCCUGCUUUUUCCAGAAUCGAUUUUGCAAGCUUCAAGAUUCUGUUCCCCUCUUCGCAGAAGUGAGGAAGGCAAAUACUCAGGGUUUGAAGGGAGACCUGGCCGGCCUGAGGGCUGGCAGAUGUGAGGGCAGGACACCUGGGAUGGACUCGUAGGCUGGCCCAGGCCCAAAGGAGGCUGCCUGUUCCCAACUCUUUCACUCUGUAACCCAUUUUAAAAUGAGUUUUUGAAUCUUGCCUCAAAUUGACCUACUUGGAUAAAAUCAGUGCUUUUCCUAACUUGAUUUUGUUUGACGUGGUUCCCUCUAAGAGAAUGGUAGGAAUUGAAACUAUUUGUAUAUGUUGAAAUUUGUAGGGGUUCAGGAACCCAUGGCAGAAACACUAAACUAUUUAUUUACAAGUAUGACUAUUUUUUUUUCAAAGUGGGCAAUUCUUUGUAUAUUUUAAGGCAAAUAAUCACUUCACCUCUGGUGCCUUCCAUGCGUCGCAUAAGCACUCUUGUCAAUCAUGGAAUUGGAAAAAAAGAUGUACAUUUAGUUAAACGAGAUAACACUAUUUUUGUAGCAUGAUUUUAGAUUGUGUCCUUUUAAUAUUGUUUUCAACAAUGGUAGUUUUGAGGUUUUGGCCAUUUUCUCUUUACACUUCGUAUGUAUUUUAAAGAAGAAAAAAAACAAAAAAAAUUCCCUGGCUAUUCCUCUUUCCUCUCUGCUGCUGCUUCUCCUGCAUCUUGUUCCUGCUUAUUUAAAUAGUCUGAGAGUAAGAGUAUAUUUCUGUGAAAUAAUUAUAAGUCAGUAUAAUUGCAUUUGGCAUUUUUUAACCACUUGCUCAGUUUGGAGCCACUGCUCACCUCAAACAGUACAAAGAAAGUGGUUCCAUAUUUUACAAACAGAAGAGUAGCAUCAGAGCCCUGACCUCCUGUCUUUGGGUGUAAAAUGGUGAGAGGCCAGUGUCUGGCUCCUUCCCCUGUGGUUUGGGCUGGUGAACUGAGCCCAAGCUUAUUCUCUGGCCUGGGCCCCUUCCAGAAUCAGUGCGGGCGUCCUGCAGAGGCAUGGCCUUCCUGCCGCUGCAGAGUGGGAAGCUUCCCGGGGGACCUCAGCCAGCUCCGGGGCUCUCAUCUUCCACUCGGAUCUCAGAUUGGUUCGUUGUGGAUGCUCUGGCUAGGCUCGGCGGCCUUUUCCAGGCUUCAGGCCUGAACAAAACAGGCUGUUUGCUGUGAGGAGCUAGAUGACACCAAGACACAGACACGUACUCUUCACCGGCUCCUUUUGCUUCUCCUUCCUGCAGGACGUGAGUUAUGUCUGGUCCCAAAACCCUUGAGUAAACUAGCUGAGCCAUUGCAAAUGAAGGUACAGAUGGAUUGAAACAUAAAAUUGUAGCUUUUGGUGUCCUUCUGAAGGGUCAGAAUAUGUAAUUAUUUGAUAACCAAGGAAGUCAAGUCAGAUGGCUAAGUAGUAACUUUCCAAUAUGAUUUCUCCGUGGUACUUCACCUGGUGGCACUUUUGGGGGGCAAUGUUAACAACUAUCACAUUUUACUCAUCAAGUCUCUUUCAUUUCGGCAGUUUAAAGACACAACUGUGGGCUUUCUGAGGCGAUGCCCGUUGGGCAAACUUAGGUUUAUGUGUUUGGUUUUUCAGCUGACGUGGAAGCCCUGGGUGGGCGUCCCCUGGCUGGCCUGGCUUUCGGGUUCAAGUCUGUAUGUAUGGAGUGGGUUGGGGCCCCAAAGCUUUGCUGCUAUUGAUUUGUCCCCGACAGCAGGCAAAGCCUCACAUUGCCCUCAAUUUUCCCCCUUUCAUUUGAAGGACCAAUUUUUCAUGGUACUUGUCUUGAUCUUUUUCAUAGUGUUCAAAUCUGUAUUUUUGUAUGUAGAGGGAAAUAAUUUUCUCAACACUAAUCGUUAAUAACUAUUGUAUUAAAUUGUCAUGAAGGAACUCGUUUAAUAAAUGGACGUGUAAGGA